UAGUCGCAUUCAGCUGCUGGAGAAGGUGACACUGUUCAGUUCCGAUGAAGUUCGUCAAGUAGAAAGUAUGGAUGAUGGAAGUGCAUUUUGGAGGCUCAAGCUACACACUUGUAACAACACAUCAAAAAUACAAUUGGAAGGCAAAGGUCAUCCAGUGUUCCAGAGAAUAAUGUAUAGAGAUGUUCUAGAAAUAAAUACUGCAGUGUCCAGUGAAGAGUAAAAUUGGUGGCAACACAUCUACAACAGGAAAGGGCCUUGCCUAGAUGAAGGAAUAAGAAAUGAAAAGGGUUGCUUUUGAAAAGCUUGUUCUUCAGUUCAAGG